UAACCCCUCACUUCCUCUCUCUCUCUCUCUCUCUCUCUCUUUCUUAUCUCUCCCGCCUCCUUGGUCGUCUCCUCUGGUGGCGCCACCGGCGUCACCACUGCCGCUGCCACCACCUCCUCCUCCUUCGCUGCCCUCUUUCUCUUCUCCUAUCUUCACUGAUCUUCACCGGUCGUCUACUUCGUCUUCUCCACUCUCGUCGUCGGUUCCAAAACCCUAACCCUACAAAGGACUACCGCCGGACUCGUCAGAAUGGCGAUCUCGAACGGACUGAUUGCGAUGAGAAAUAUCAGGCAAUCUUCUCUGAUCAGAGCUCUGCACCUGCUUCAGCCUUGAGAAAUGAAAAGAUUGGAUCAAUAUACACCUCUCUUAUCUCAAAUCCAGCCCCAAACUGACAUUGAAGGCCUCAACAUUGCGGAUGAUGUGUCUCAAGCGAGUCGGUCAAUUCUUUUUUGCUGAAAUUCACAAGAGUUGUCAAAACUUUGUCCUCUUUGGAGUUGCCUAGGGCUGUUGCUGUUGCAACUGUGCCAUCUUCACCUAUCUCAGAUGGUGGGCCCCCCUCAUAUGAAAAUCAAGAGAGGACUAAAGUAGGUACUUUUGAUGGAACUGCCAGGCUUAAGUUCAGGAUCCUGCUCAAUAUAUUUCAAUUCAACUAUUGGAGAAAUUAUCUCUUGUGACAACAUUUGCUCGGGAAACAACUUCACAACUUUUCCGAGAUAGUAAUAGUGAUGUUUUUGGUGCUAAUGAGAGGAGGAACCAUGACCAGACUCCCCAUCCUUACCCUAGUAUUGUUGCAUCCAAUGAUGUGGAAGAGGUUCUAAUGAAAUUCCUAUAGCCUCAGAUCCCUUGGAGGCAUGGGAAGUCGCGGUCAUGAAAAGUUCCUUCAAUACCCUCUGGCACUCGACCAUUUCUUUACGCUAUACAACCAAUUUAAGCAACACGCGAACAAUGCUAAUUUAAUGAGGAAAUCGGCUAUUUUUCUUUAUUGGGUUCCCUUGUUUUUCAACUGGAAACAUAGGGUAAAGUGGUUCAAUCUCAUAGAAAAAUUCUCAAAGUAAAACUUUCAAUAUUUUGAAGCCACGUUAAUAUAUGAUGCAAGGAGGGAAGUAUAGCAAAAGAAAGUAGGGCAAAAGAGGAGAAGGAAGCUUGAAUGAGAAAAAGUAUAUUCUAUGCCUGAAAGGUUAGGUUGAGAUGAUAAGGUAAAAGUCCUAGAUAAAAAAGUUCAUGUUAAAUUUCUUUUUGUGCAGAUGGGAAUGUCGGAGUUUUGGUGAAUCGGGAGGCAUUUAUUGGAUCUGUAGAAAUGCCUUGCACCAUUACGGUGAAUAUGUAAAGUCAUAGUAUUUUAUAUUUUUGUUUUUAUUUAUAUAUUAUUUUUUAUUAUUUAUGUAGCAUGUUAAAUUCUUUUAAUAGGUUUUUUUAGAAUAAUAUUUUACUUGGUUGAGCCAGGUGAAAAGAAGGUCGAUCAAGUAGCUAUGGAGGAUUUUUUGUGUUUAUUCUCGGAAAUUAUACCUAUUAAAAGAAUAUGUACGGUGUAGUCAGGGUAUAGUUUUUGGGACUAAACGCAGAAAAUCCUCAAUAGCUACCUGAUCUGCCUCCUUUUCACCUGGUUCAACCUAUUAAAAGAAUUAUUCCAAAAAACCUAUUAAAAGAAUUUAACAAGCUACAUAAAUAAUAAAAAUAAUAUAUAAAUAAAACAAAAAUAUAAAAUACUAUGGAAUUACAUAUUCACCGUAAUGGUGCAAGACAUUUCUACAGAUCCAAUAAAUGUCUCCCGAUUCACCAUAUGUGCACAAAAAGAAGUCUAACAUGAUUUUUUUUUUAAUCUAGGGCUUUUACCUUAUCAUCUCAACCUAACAUUUUUGGCAUGGAAUAUACUUUUUCCCAUUCAGUCUUCUUUAUCCUCUUGUCCUACUUUCUUUUGCUAUCGUUCCCUCUCUCCAUCAUAUAUUAACGUGGCUUCAAAAUAUUGAAAGUUAUGCUUUGAGAAUUUUUCUACGAGAUUGAACCACCUUACCCUAUCUUUUCAGUUGAAAAACAAGGGAGUUCCAUAAAGAAAAAUAGCAUGUUUCCUGUAAGAAGCAAUGCAAGUUCCAAAACUUUGUUUCAGGUAAUAUAUUUAUUUUUUUCUCUUUUUGUUAAGAAGUGCAUUUGUUAGGAAUUUAUAUAUUACCCCCCUAUUAUAAAAAUUGAGAAAAGUAAUAAAUGGGGAAAUUCUAUUUUCACACAUCAACUUUCCUUACUCUACACACUUAAUGAAUUUUUUUCAGAAUCACAAUUUUAUCCUUUAAUAAAAUUACCAUCUCACCCACCACCAUGUCACCUACACAUUUCACAAUUUCUCCAUACACAUCUCACCCACAUAAUUUGAUGAGGGUGUGCACACACUCGUUUUAUGGCUUUUCGUGUUUUUUCUUCAUUGAUGGUGGUUCAAUUGCUAACUCCACAAGAGUCCACAUAAUCUGUAUUUAUUAAACUAUAUGUUUCUGUUUUUUUUUUAGUUUGUGUGUAUCAUUUGUUGGUGUCUACUACAUAAUUUCAUUGAAGUUGUUUGCUGGGAAGGUGUUUUCUGUUAUGGGUCAUCUUUGAAUCUUUCCUAAUUUGGGGUUAAAUUUGGUUUCCAUGAGGUUUUGAGGAGACCCUUCAUGGAUCUAGAAAUUGGGUUUUAUCAGAAUCGUGUUAAGAAAGAAUCUUGGAGGACAGUAUUGAUUUUGGCUUAUCAGAGCCUUGGAGUUUUCUAUGAAUUUUGUCUAAUAUAAUCUGAUGAGAGUGUGCACAUUUUUUUAUUAAAUGGGUAUAUUUGGAAUGUGGGGUGUGUGGAUUGAGAUAAAUACCUAAAAAUCAAAUUGCUAAGUGUGUGGAGUGAGAAAGGAUGUACACAGAGAUAAUGUAGUGUGUGAAAAUAGAAUUUCCCUAAUAAAUGUAUAGCGAUCCCGGUUUUCCUUUUUUGUGUU